rnacentral:rRNA from 1 species
GGGUUGUGAGGUUAAGCGACUAAGCGUACACGGUGGAUGCCCUGGCAGUCAGAGGCGAUGAAGGACGUGCUAAUCUGCGAUAAGCGCCGGUAAGGUGAUAUGAACCGUUAUAACCGGCGAUUUCCGAAUGGGGAAACCCAGUGUGAUUCGUCACACUAUCAUUAACUGAAUCCAUAGGUUAAUGAGGCGAACCGGGGGAACUGAAACAUCUAAGUACCCCGAGGAAAAGAAAUCAACCGAGAUUCCCCCAGUAGCGGCGAGCGAACGGGGAGGAGCCCAGAGCCUGAAUCAGCAUGUGUGUUAGUGGAAGCGUCUGGAAAGACGCGCGAUACAGGGUGACAGCCCCGUACACAAAAGCGCAUGUGCUGUGAGCUCGAUGAGUAGGGCGGGACACGUGGUAUCCUGUCUGAAUAUGGGGGGACCAUCCUCCAAGGCUAAAUACUCCUGACUGACCGAUAGUGAACCAGUACCGUGAGGGAAAGGCGAAAAGAACCCCGGCGAGGGGAGUGAAAAAGAACCUGAAACCGUGUACGUACAAGCAGUGGGAGCCCCACCACUAAGCCAGUGGUGAACUCCACAUACGCAUCCUUUGCUGAGGAUACGGUUAACGGAGCGAAAGCGACGUUCAACCUCAAAAGAAGCAGAGGGGGCUUAGUGGUGGGGUGACUGCGUACCUUUUGUAUAAUGGGUCAGCGACUUAUAUUCUGUAGCAAGGUUAACCGAAUAGGGGAGCCGGAGGGAAACCGAGUCUUAACCGGGCGUUAAGUUGCAGGGUAUAGACCCGAAACCCGGUGAUCUAGCCAUGGGCAGGUUGAAGGUUGGGUAACACUAACUGGAGGACCGAACCGACUAAUGUUGAAAAAUUAGCGGAUGACCUGUGGCUGGGGGUGAAAGGCCAAUCAAACCGGGAGAUAGCUGGUUCUCCCCGAAAGCUAUUUAGGUAGCGCCUCGUGAACUCAUCUCCGGGGGUAGAGCACUGUUUCGGCUAGGGGGCCAUCCCGGCUUACCAACCCGAUGCAAACUGCGAAUACCGGAGAAUGUUAUCACGGGAGACACACGGCGGGUGCUAACGUCCGUCGUGAAGAGGGAAACAACCCAGACCGCCAGCUAAGGUCCCAAAGUCAUGGUUAAGUGGGAAACGAUGUGGGAAGGCCCAGACAGCCAGGAUGUUGGCUUAGAAGCAGCCAUCAUUUAAAGAAAGCGU